GGGACUUAAAGAUGCCCAACAAACUAUGACAGCUCUAAAGUCCGCAAAUAAGGAACUGAAAGGAAUGAUGAAAACUGUCAAGAUACAGGACAUAGAUAGCUUGCAAGAUGAAAUGAUGGAUCUCAUGGAUGUGAGCAGUGAAAUACAAGAGUCUCUGGGUAGGAGCUACAAUGUACCUGAUGAUAUUGAUGAGGAUGAGCUUUUGGGUGAGCUUGAUGCUCUUGAAGCAGAUAUGGGAGCAGAGACUGAGUCCGAUGCGGUUCCCUCAUAUCUUCAACCUGAUAAGGAAUCUGAUUUAGAUGCAGAACUCAACUUGCCUGCACCACCAUCAGGUCAUGGAGCAGUGCCACCCGGCAGAUACAAUGCCCAGGCGGAGGACGAACUGGGGUUACCGGCCGUGCCGCGAGCGUCUCUUCG
rnacentral:misc_RNA from 1 species